UAAGGGCGCACGGUGGAUGCCUUGGCACUAGAAGCCGAUGAAGGACGUUACUAACGACGAUAUGCUUUGGGGAGCUGUAAGUAAGCUUUGAUCCAGAGAUUUCCGAAUGGGGAAACCCAGCAUGAGUUAUGUCAUGUUAUCGAUAUGUGAAUACAUAGCAUAUCAGAAGGCACACCCGGAGAACUGAAACAUCUUAGUACCCGGAGGAAGAGAAAGAAAAUUCGAUUCCCUUAGUAGCGGCGAGCGAAACGGGAAGAGCCCAAACCAACAAGCUUGCUUGUUGGGGUUGUAGGACACUCUAUACGGAGUUACAAAGGACGACAUUAGACGAAUCAUCUGGAAAGAUGAAUCAAAGAAGGUAAUAAUCCUGUAGUCGAAAAUGUUGUCUCUCUUGAGUGGAUCCUGAGUACGACGGAGCACGUGAAAUUCCGUCGGAAUCUGGGAGGACCAUCUCCUAAGGCUAAAUACUCUCUAGUGACCGAUAGUGAACCAGUACCGUGAGGGAAAGGUGAAAAGCACCCCGGAAGGGGAGUGAAAUAGAACCUGAAACCGUGUGCUUACAAGUAGUCAGAGCCCGUUAAUGGGUGAUGGCGUGCCUUUUGUAGAAUGAACCGGCGAGUUACGAUUUGAUGCAAGGUUAAGCAGUAAAUGUGGAGCCGUAGCGAAAGCGAGUCUGAAUAGGGCGUUUAGUAUUUGGUCGUAGACCCGAAACCAGGUGAUCUACCCUUGGUCAGGUUGAAGUUCAGGUAACACUGAAUGGAGGACCGAACCGACUUACGUUGAAAAGUGAGCGGAUGAACUGAGGGUAGCGGAGAAAUUCCAAUCGAACCUGGAGAUAGCUGGUUCUCUCCGAAAUAGCUUUAGGGCUAGCCUCAAGUGAUGAUUAUUGGAGGUAG
rnacentral:rRNA from 1 species